CCUACGGGAGGCAGCAGUGGGGAAUCUUGCACAAUGGAGGAAACUCUGAUGCAGCGAUGCCGCGUGAGUGAAGAAGGCCUUUGGGUUGUAAAGCUCUUUUGUAGGGGAAGAUAAUGACUGUACCCUAAGAAUAAGGUCCGGCUAACUUCGUGCCAGCAGCCGCGGUAAUACGAAGGGACCUAGCGUAGUUCGGAAUUACUGGGCGUAAAGCGCGCGUAGGCCGUUGAGUUAGUUAAUUGUGAAAUCCCAAAGCUUAACUUUGGAACUGCAAUUAAAACUGCUCGACUAGAGUUUGAUAGAGGAAAGCGGAAUACAUAGUGUAGAGGUGAAAUUCGUAGAUAUUAUGUAGAACACCAGUUGCGAAGGCGGCUUUCUGGAUCAACACUGACGCUGAGGCGCGAAAGUAUGGGUAGCAAAGAGGAUUAGAUACCCUCGUAGUCCAUACCAUAAACGAUGAUUGNUANAUGUUAGUAAUUUAAUUUACUAUAUCGCAGCUACGACAUAAUACACUACCGCCGUCGGGUAGGUACGACCGACGAACGUUAAACGUAACGAAAGAAAGUUAGACGGCGNGAGACGUGCCGACGGACGACGACGAGGGAGGUAGG
rnacentral:rRNA from 1 species